AACGCGAAGAACCUUACCUAAGCUUGACAUCCUUUUGACCGAUGCCUAAUCGCAUCUUUCCCUUCGGGGACAGAAGUGACAGGUGGUGCAUGGUUGUCGUCAGCUCGUGUCGUGAGAUGUUGGGUUAAGUCCCGCAACGAGCGCAACCCUUGCCUUUAGUUGCCAUCAUUAAGUUGGGCACUCUAGAGGGACUGCCAGGGAUAACCUGGAGGAAGGUGGGGAUGACGUCAAAUCAUCAUGCCCCUUAUGCUUAGGGCUACACACGUGCUACAAUGGGUGGUACAGGGGGCAGCCAAGUCGUGAGGCGGAGCUAAUCCCUUAAAGCCAUUCUCAGUUCGGAUUGUAGGCUGAAACUCGCCUACAUGAAGCUGGAGUUACUAGUAAUCGCAGAUCAGAAUGCUGCGGUGAAUGCGUUCCCGGGUCUUGUACACACCG
rnacentral:rRNA from 1 species